UACAGAGGUCUCAAGCGUUGUUCGGAUUCAUUGGGCGUAAAGGGUGCGUAGGUGGCGAUGCAAGUCUGGUGUGAAAUCUCGGGGCUCAACCCCGAGAUUGCACCGGAUACUGCGUUGCUCGAGGACUGUAGAGGAGAGUGGAAUUCACGGUGUAGCAGUGAAAUGCGUAGAUAUCGGGAGGAAGACCAGUGGCGAAGGCGACUCUCUGGGCAGUUGCUGACACUGAGGCGCGAAGGCGAGGGGAGCAAACGGG
rnacentral:rRNA from 1 species